CUCAUCAAUUUAAAUCACAUCCGCUGUCUGCCAUCCAAAAUAGGUAAAACACCAAAGGAAGGGGACAAAAAUGAAUGCAAAGAGUCCAAAGUAAAAGAAUAUUCAAAUUAUGAAAAUAAAGCUUGCCACCCUACGCGUUUCAUCUGGGAGACUUCGUCAGGGGCUCGUGGCAAUAGUACACCAUACACAUACAAUAACAUUUAAAUACCCAACCUUAAAAAACCUUUGUCCAAUCGCCAAAAAGAACUUCAAAUCAAGUCCACCUGAUGGUACUUUUUCUAACUUGUUCCGUUCCGUUUUCGCGCUUCUGGAAAGCGCUUGCGUCCCAAGCCUCAUUUUCAGAAGUACCGGAAGAGGUCGCCGAUCCACUUUCGGAACGCUUGUAUUUCGUCAUAUCCGGUCGCAACCGGAAGUUAUCAUAAGUUCGGCAAAAAAAAUCAUCACUCUUUGGAACGCAAAUGCGUUCCACUUCGGAUAAAACGACAAUGAAACUUCUGAAGAUGGGAUACACAUAAACUCACAAGAUAGAAGAAGAAAAAAAAGUUUUUAAAAAUCCUCAUACAAAUAAAA